UGUUGCGACUUUUGAAUCGUCGAUCGGCUCCGUUAAAUUUGAUCUAGAUUAUUUGGAGUACUUAGAAAAUAAAUUUUAUUAUUUUUUGAUAUCAUUUGCCUAGUGAUCGAAUAGGCUCAUAAUCAACAAAUUUCAAUGGCCAUACUGAGCCAUUUGCAAGUUUAACAGUGUAGAAAUAUUCAAAUCACGUGAAAUUUUGAUAGAAAAUUCUUUAUAUUAUAUAAAACAAGAUCAAUAUUUUUGAUUUAAAAUUUUAAUUUCAUAUUAUUACAUUUUGUAAGAUUUUUAUUUUCAGCCGUUGAUUUUGAGCCCCUUCGUUUACCAGGCAAAUGAUAUCGUAAAAUCAUAAAAUUUAUUUUCUAGGUACUUCAAAUACUCUAGAUCAAGUUUAACGGA
rnacentral:lncRNA from 1 species